AGUCCAACUCCUUGAAGGAGCUCACCAUGGCCUGGGCUGUGUAUUUCAUGGUACUUCUCAGUUACUGCUCAGGGGUCAUCUCACAGUCAACGUUGACUCAACCUGCCUCCCAGUCAGUACCCCAGGGACAAACUAUCAAAAUCUCCUGCACUGCCAGCAGUAGCGUGGGCACUGUUUCCUGGUAUCAACAGAAACCUGGACAGGCCCCUCGCUUUGUGGACUGUGAUGCUUGCAGCAGCAGGGGAUCUGGCAUCCCAGAUCGGUUCACUGCAACCCGCUCUGGGACCACAGGAUAUUUAACCAUCACCAGCAUUGAAACUGAAGACGAUGCCGAUUACUACUGCGGCCAACGGUCUCCUGAAGCGUCUUUUGGAACUCUCUGUCAUCAUGGAAGCUAG